AUAGAUGUAGGGGAGGUGCGUGUAGGUGGGCCAUAUAGAUGUAUUGGUGUAUGGGAGGUGCAUGUAGGUGGGCCAUAUAGAUGUAUGGGAGGUGCGUGUAGGUGGGCCAUAUAGAUGUAGGGGAGGUGCAUGUAGGUGGGCCAUAUAGAUGUAGGGGAGGUGCGUGUAGGUGGGCCAUAUUGAUGUAGGGGAGGUGCGUGUAGGUGGGCCAUAUUGAUGUAGGGGAGGUGCGUGUAGGUGGGCCAUAUAGAUGUAGGGAGGUGCGUGUAGGUGGGCCAUAUAGAUGUAGGGGAGGUGCAUGUAGGUGGGCCAUAUAGAUGUAGGGGAGGUGCAUGUAGGUGGGCCAUAUUGAUGUAGGGGAGGUGCAUGUAGGUGGGCCAUAUUGAUGUAGGGGAGGUGCGUGUAGGUGGGCCAUAUUGAUGUAGGGGAGGUGCGUGUAGGUGGGCCAUAUUGAUGUAGGGGAGGUGCGUGUAGGUGGGCCAUAUAGAUGUAGGGGAGGUGCGUGUAGGUGGGCCAUAUUGAUAUAGGGGAGGUGCGUGUAGGUGGGCCAUAAAGGUGUCUAAUGGGGAAGCAAGAGGAAUCAGGUGCUGCAAAUAACGUGAUUCAAUGGUUCUCUUGUCAAUGACAUCGGGUGUCAUUGUCAGCAUCACACAAACAAACCUUCAUGACAACAUUCUACUACACUGAACAAACAUAAUUGGGGAUAAUAAACAAUUUAGGGCAUAUCUUUUGUGAA
rnacentral:lncRNA from 1 species